CUUUAAAGAAUUUUUUAAAAUUUUUAUUAAAAUUAAUUUUUGAUUUUUUAAUUGUUUAAAUGUCUAAAAAACUUUUUUGAAAAUAGUUCAUCUUUUUUAAUAAUAUUUUAAGACCCUGAAGAUGAGGCAAGUAAGACCUCGAAAUAUAUAGGCCAAAAAUAAAUAAUUUUCUAAAAUACAAAGAUGCGUUUUUAAUUUAAUAUGAACUUAAAGAAGCAAAACAAAGAAGCUUUGCUAUCCUUUAAAUUCGUCGUUUGUUUCUGUUGAUUGUGGGCUUGUGCCACAUCGACUGCAAAUACUCCAACAAACAGCAAAAUUGUAAUCAAAAACAACCAACAACUGGAAAUUGAGAUGGAAAUUGAGGAGGAGGAAAAACAAAAUCUAUCCAUCGACGAAUUGAUUGUAUUGCAACACAACAACAACAACAUUUGAUUUGGUUGCAGCUGGACUAAGACCGACUUUGUGAUGAAUUAAUUUAUUAUUGCCAUCAAGGGAAACAACAUUUUCAAUGAAUUUUUGAUUUCUAAUAGACGAACCCAUAACAACAACAACAAAUUAGAAAAACAGGAAAUUUCUUGGUGUUGGCAAAAAAAAAAACAACACCACAGAGACACUCUUUUAUCUCACUCACACUCAAUUCAA